CAGCAGCCGCGGUAAUACGUAGGUGGCAAGCGUUGUCCGGAAUUAUUGGGCGUAAAGCGCGCGCAGGCGGUUUCUUAAGUCUGAUGUGAAAGCCCCCGGCUUAACCGGGGAGGGUCAUUGGAAACUGGGAGACUUAGAGUGCAGAAGAGAAGAGUGGAAUUCCAUGUGUAGCGGUGAAAUGCGUAGAUAUAUGGAGGAACACCAGUGGCGAAGGCGACUCUCUGGUCUGUAACUGACGCUGAAGCGCGGAAGCGUGGGGAGCGAACAGGAUUAGAUACCCCUGUAGUCCCUGUCUCUUAUA
rnacentral:rRNA from 1 species